GAGUAACACGUGACUAACCUACCUCCGAGUGGGGAAUAACUCCGGGAAACCGGGGCUAAUACCGCAUAACAUCGCAAGAUCAAAGCAGCAAUGCGCUUAGAGAGGGGGUCGCGGCUGAUUAGCUAGUUGGCGGGGUAACGGCCCACCAAGGCGAAGAUCGGUAUCCGGCCUGAGAGGGCGCACGGACACACUGGAACUGAAACACGGUCCAGACUCCUACGGGAGGCAGCAGUGGGGAAUUUUGCGCAAUGGGGGAAACCCUGACGCAGCAACGCCGCGUGGAGGAUGAAGCCCUUUGGGGCGUAAACUCCUUUCGACUCGGACGAUUAUGACGGUACGAGUGGAAGAAGCACCGGCUAACUCUGUGCCAGCAGCCGCGGUAAUACAGAGGGUGCGAGCGUUGUUCGGAAUUAUUGGGCGUAAAGGGCGCGUAGGCGGUGCGGUAAGUCACCUGUGAAAUCUCCCGGCUUAACUGGGAGCCUGCAGGCGAAACUGCCGUGCUGGAGUGUGGGAGAGGUGCGUGGAAUUCCCGGUGUAGCGGUGAAAUGC
rnacentral:rRNA from 1 species